GCCGAUGUGGUGGAAUUGGUAGACACGCUAUCUUGAGGGGGUAGUAACAAAAGUUGUGCGAGUUCGAGUCUCGCCAUCGGCACCA
rnacentral:tRNA from 1 species